rnacentral:snRNA from 1 species
UUGCUGACUUCGGCGGCACAUAUACUAAAAUUGGAAUGAUACAGAGAAAGAUUAGCAUGGCUUCUAUGCAAGCAUGACACACACCUCCCUCCCCCCNAAAAAAUACCU